CUGCUGCCUCCCGUAGGAGUCUGGUCCGUGUCUCAGUACCAGUGUGGGGGGCCUUCCUCUCAGAACCCCUACGCAUCGUCGCCUCGGUGGGCCGUUACCCCGCCGACUUGCUAAUGCGCCGCAUGCCCAUCCGUGGCCGGGAUUGCUCCCUUUGGCGGCCUUGGGAUGCCCCAAGGCCGCGUUACGCGGUAUUAGACGGGGUUUCCCCCGCUUAUCCCCCUGCCACGGGCAGGUUGCAUACGUGUUACUCACCCGUGCGCCGGUCGCCGGCAACGG
rnacentral:rRNA from 1 species